rnacentral:lncRNA from 1 species
UACACCAAAAGUCAGGAUCUAUUUUCCGUAAGCUCAAUCGGCACCUCGUGGUUUGACUUAAACAUCGUAGUGUAUUGUUCUUUCUCAGCAGUUGAAACAGUUCGAAUAUUUCAUCAAGGCUUAAUUUGACGUUUUUUGUUGGCAGGUCCUACAGGCGGACAUCAAGUCGAAAGAUCGGUCGAUCAAGGCGCUGGUUGAGUUGGGGCGUCGGGCGAGCAACCCCCAUCCAAGCGGAACCCCUACGCGCGGCUCGAGAGGCGCUGGCUCAACUUCCAGCUCUUCGUCAUCGAGUGCCAGUGCCGCGUCGAGGAUCGACAGCAAGUUCUCAGCAAACAGAGCCAAACGAGUUCUGUGGCGUCUAGCGAAUGCAGUGACGAUGAGCCUGUGAACAAGCUGUCUCGACUUUCGACGAGUCCCGGCGCGAGCCAUGUGUCCACCCCCUUCAAAUCGCACAAGUCCAACAUUCUUGUAGAGGAUGUGGAUGGUAGUUUAAUGGAUACUUCUAGUCACGGAGAGACUUCAGUGGCAUCUCCAACUUCGAACCAUUUUAGUAAACUUAAUUCUAGGCACCCUUUCAAUCAAACGAUGAAUGCUGUCUACUCAAGUGGGCUCACCGUCAAUGGGUAAAUUUCAUAUAAUUCUCUAUUUUAUUUCUCAACACCGAUAGAUGAUCUGCAAUUUCUCCUUACAAAAAUCUAUAAAAGCACAUUUG